rnacentral:rRNA from 1 species
CAGUCGCCACGGUAAAACGUAGGGUGCGAGCGUUAAUCGGAAUUACUGGGCGUAAAGCGUGCGCAGGCGGUUCGUUAAGACAGAUGUGAAAUCCCCGGGCUUAACCUGGGAACUGCAUUUGUGACUGGCGAGCUAGAGUAUGGCAGAGGGGGGUAGAAUUCCACGUGUAGCAGUGAAAUGCGUAGAGAUGUGGAGGAAUACCGAUGGCGAAGGCAGCCCCCUGGGCCAAUACUGACGCUCAUGCACGAAAGCGUGGGGAGCAAACAGGAUUAGAUACCCGAGUAGUCCCUGUCUCUUAUAC